GACGAACGCUGGCGGCGUGCUUAACACAUGCAAGUCGAACGGGCCUGUCUUCUUUUUUGGGGGUGGGUUGAGUGGCGAACGGGUGAGUAUCACGUGAGUAACCUGCCCUUCGGUCCUGGAUAACCGCUUGAAAGGGCGGCUAAUACGGGGUGGUCCGGUUGGUCCGCAUGGGCUGGUCGGGAUAGAUUCACUGUUUUUGGUGUUUCGGCGGGGGAUGGGCUCGCGGCCUAUCAGCUUGUUGGGGGGGUGAUGGCCUACCAAGGCGGUGACGGGUAGCCGGCCUGAGAGGGUGGGCGGCCACGCUGGGACUGGGAUACGGCCCAGACUCCUGCGGGAGGCAGCAGUGGGGGGUAUUGCACAAUGGGCGGAAGCCUGAUGCAGCGACGUCGCGUGAGGGAUGGAGGCCUUCGGGUUGUGAACCUCUGUUUCCGGUGGUGAAGGCCCUGUCCGUGUGGUGGGGUUGACGGUAGCCGGGGAUGAAGCGCCGGCUAACUACGUG
rnacentral:rRNA from 1 species